rnacentral:rRNA from 1 species
AGUAACGGCGAGUGAAGCGGCAAAAGCUCAAAUUUGAAAUCUGGUACCUUCGGUGCCCGAGUUGUAAUUUGGAGAGGGCAACUUUGGGGCCGUUCCUUGUCUAUGUUCCUUGGAACAGGACGUCAUAGAGGGUGAGAAUCCCGUGUGGCGAGGAGUGCGGUUCUUUGUAAAGUGCCUUCGAAGAGUCGAGUUGUUUGGGAAUGCAGCUCUAAGUGGGUGGUAAAUUCCAUCUAAAGCUAAAUAUUGGCGAGAGACCGAUAGCGAACAAGUACAGUGAUGGAAAGAUGAAAAGAACUUUGAAAAGAGAGUGAAAAAGUACGUGAAAUUGUUGAAAGGGAAGGGCAUUUGAUCAGACAUGGUGUUUUGUGCCCUCUGCUCCUUGUGGGUAGGGGAAUCUCGCAUUUCACUGGGCCAGCAUCAGUUUUGGUGGCAGGAUAAAUCCAUAGGAAUGUAGCUUGCCUCGGUAAGUAUUAUAGCCUGUGGGAAUACUGCCAGCUGGGACUGAGGACUGCGACGUAAGUCAAGGAUGCUGGCAUAAUGGUUAUAUGCCGC